AAUGAUAGUAACAAUAAUGUUAAAUUAAUUAAUUUAGUAAUAAAAUAGCAAAAAGAGCAAAAAAAAAAGCAACAACAAAAUGGGGCCAAAUCGAACUUUUAAAAGAAAAAAAAUUGGGGAGAAUCGGAAAUAAAAAUAAGGUAAGGGACCACAUUGAAAAGCACAAAUAACAUAGAAGAACCAAAAGGAAAAAUAUCCCCG
rnacentral:lncRNA from 1 species